rnacentral:rRNA from 1 species
AACGAACGCUGGCGGCAUGCCUAACACAUGCCAGUCGAACAAGACCUUCGGGUCUAGUGGCGCACGGGUGCGUAACGCGUGGGAACCUGCCCUUAGGUUCGGAAUAACUCCCCGAAAGGGGUGCUAAUACCGGAUAAUGUCUUCGGACCAAAGAUUUAUCGCCUUUGGAUGGGCCCGCGUUGGAUUAGCUAGUUGGUAGGGUAAAAGCCUACCAAGGCGACGAUCCAUAGCUGGUCUGAGAGGAUGAUCAGCCACACUGGGACUGAGACACGGCCCAGACUCCUACGGGAGGCAGCAGUGGGGAAUAUUGGACAAUGGGCGAAAGCCUGAUCCAGCAAUGCCGCGUGAGUGAUGAAGGCCUUAGGGUUGUAAAGCUCUUUUACCCGGGAUGAUAAUGACAGUACCGGGAGAAUAAGCUCCGGCUAACUCCGUG